rnacentral:rRNA from 1 species
AAGUGUACCUAAACAGACUUCCUAGAAAAACCUCUAAGCUUCAGGUAUUAACAGCCUGUACCGUAAACCGACACAGGUAGGUAGGAAGAAAAUUCUAAGGUGCUCGAGUGAAUCAUGGUUAAGGAACUAGGCAAAACAGCCUCGUAACUUCGGGAGAAGAGGCGCCCCACUCCGGUGGGGCCGCAGUGAAUAGGCCCAGGCGACUGUUUAUCAAAAACACAGGACUCUGCUAAAUCGAAAGAUGAUGUAUAGGGUCUGACACCUGCCCGGUGCUGGAAGGUUAAGAGGAGGAGUUAUCUUCGGAGAAGCUCUGAAUUGAAGCCCCAGUAAACGGCGGCCGUAACAAUAACGGUCCUAAGGUAGCGAAAUUCCUUGUCGGGUAAGUUCCGACCUGCACGAAUGGUGUAACGAUCUGGGCACUGUCUCAACCAUGAGCUCGGUGAAAUUGUAGUCUCGGUGAAGAUGCCGAGUACCCGCAACGGGACGAAAAGACCCCGUGAACCUUCACUACAACUUUGUAUUGACUUCGGAUAAAAGAUGUGUAGGAUAGGUGGGAGACUUUGAAGCAGCCUCGCUAGGGGUUGUGGAGUCAUCCUUGAAAUACCACCCUUCUUUUGUUUGGAGCCUAACCCCCAACGGGGAACAGUGCAUGGUGGGUAGUUUGACUGGGGUGGUCGCCUCCAAAAGAGUAACGGAGGCUUCCAAAGGUUCCCUCAGCACGCUUGGUAACCGUGCGUAGAGUGCAAUGGCACAAGGGAGCUUGACUGUGAGACUUACAAGUCGAGCAGGUACGAAAGUAGGGCAUAGUGAUCCGGUGGUUCCGCAUGGAAGGGCCAUCGCUCAAAGGAUAAAAGGUACUCCGGGAUAACAGGCUGAUCUCCCCCAAGAGCUCACAUCGACGGGGGGGUUUGGCACCUCGACGUCGGCUCGUCACAUCCUGGGGCUGGAGAAGGUCCCAAGGGUUGGGCUGUUCGCCCAUUAAAGUGGCACGCGAGCUGGGUUCAGAACGUCGCGAGACAGUUCGGUCUCUAUCUGUUGUGGGCGUUAGAAAUUUGAGAGGAGCUGACCUUAGUACGAGAGGACCGGGUUGGACAGACCUCUGGUGUACCUGUUGUGGCGCCAGCCGCAUUGCAGGGUAGCUACGUCUGGAUGGGAUAAGCACUGAAAGCAUAUAAGUGCGAAGCCUACCUCAAGAUGAGAUUUCUUUUAA